AUAAUAUUCCCUCUGUUCCGAAUUAUUUGUCUUGGAUUUGUUUAGAUACAGAUGUGUUUAAACUCAUUUUAGUGCUAGAUACCUCCGUGUCUACAUAAAUCUAAGACAAGUAAUUCGAAACGAAGGGAGUACUAG
rfam:Triticum aestivum genome assembly, contig: Triticum_aestivum_CS42_TGACv1_scaffold_019597_1AS